UUGACAGCACUAGACAAUGAAGGUUCCUUUAUCCCCCAGAAAGCUACCAUGCAGGCAGUGCAAACUUCCCCAAAACUGUCCUGCCAACAUGCUGCUUUGACCUGGAGGGGGAGCACCUUUAUGAUGACAGGAUAAUUUGAUCUCUGUGCCAUUUAAUCCUUAUUCUCA
rnacentral:sRNA from 1 species